rnacentral:lncRNA from 1 species
AUAAAUCGAGCAUGAUUGGCUAGUUGGCAAUUGUAUUGAAAUGCGAAUUGUUUGGUUGCCUUGAAAAACUGCGAAUUUCAAAAUUACCAUAUCAUGUUAUUGAGUUUUAUUAUAUGGUGGAUUAUAUAUUAAUUAAUCACUACAGUAGGGGGUUUCUGUGGACCAGCCUUUUAGAGGGGCACGGUAAACCCAAUUAUAUUCUUACCUUGAAUGGAG